UGAGUUUCCUCCUAAAUGUCAAAGGAGUACAGUCGAUACAUUUCCACUUGUUGCACCGUGACCGGGUCACCGCGGGGGUGAGGAAGCGCGCGGGGCGAGGGAGACCAGCCUCCAGCAUCGGUCAACGACCCACCGGACGCACCCUGUCGCAUCCAACCUAUUUUAAGAACAACCUGUAUAGGCAAAGUUCGAAGGUCAAAUUGCGCGAUGCUGGGUUGCAUAAUAGAGGCUGGCAUUUGGUGACGUCAGGGGGCUGGAGAGGCGCGCCGCGGGCGCGGCAGCGGGCGUCCAUUCAUGGGCCUCCGCUCACGCACACACCCGCACACCCCGCACACACACGCCACCCCAUAUCAUUGUGAUUUUCGUUAUGACGUCACUCGCUCCCAACCAAUCACAGCGCAGAUCCAUUCAAGCCUAACUCCUGAAGGGAAUUUCGUGGAGCGGGAUGAAAGCACCAGUCGACUGACGAUCGCCGCGUGGGUGGUAGCGGUGUACCCCGUAGCUCUCCGCGAUCUCGUAUCGGGAUACAAAAAUUAUGUUUGGAAAAAGUUUGCGAAAGUUUCCUUUGAAUUAACAUAGCUUUGUAAAUUA